ACUGUCCCCCGGGGAGCCCCGAGGCCCGGCCACACCCAGGGCGCUCCUGAAGCCGCCGCAGCUGCUGUGCGAGGCCGGGCCGACCCGCCUGGGGCGCGUGGGUGGGGCGGGAGCGCAGCCGCAGCCCGGCGGCGACACAGGCCCGGGGCCAGCCGGGGACGGAAAAAGUGAGUGCGCGGCGGCGCGGGGCGGCCUGACGGGAAGGCGGGAGGCGAAGUGCUGACUGCGCCGCGGUCUCUCAGCCGCCAACACACCGCGGACGCCCGGGGACAGCGACCGCUUCCUCCCUCCCCGCCCGCCUUGUCUCUUUUUGGUCUUGCUCUGUCGCCCAGGCUGGAGUCAGUGGCACCAUCGUGGCUCACUGCGGCCUCCACCUCCGGGACUCCAGGGAUCCUCCCGCCUCAGCCUCCCGAGGAGCUGGGACCACCGCACCUGGCUAAUUUUAAAAUUUUUCCUUAGAGACAGGAUCUCACUUUGCUGCCCAGGCUGGUCUCAAACUCCUGGGCUCAAGCGACCCUCCCGCCUCGGCCUCCCAAAGUGCCACCGUGCCAAGCCUCAGUUAGGUUUUUAAUUUUAAUUUGGCAUUGUUUGAUGCUCAGACUGCUGCCGUGUCAUUUUCACACGACAGCAAGUUGGGGACAGCGAGUUGUUCUGUCCUGCGCGUGUGUCCCCUCAUGGUCUUGAGUGACCUGACCCUCUGUGGGGAGCCCUGAGCCUCCUCCCUGCUCCCGCGGCCCCAGCUCUCAGCUGAUGGAGGCUCCGGGGCGGGCUCAAGCCCCCGGCCGGCUUUGGACGGCUUUGCCGUUGCCGAGCCAGCGCCGUGAGCUCGUGGGCUCUGCGUCUGCACAUGUUUGCCGGUGACCUCUGGGAAGUGUUUCGACGAGGAUGGGGGUUGAGGGGGCAAAGGGCAAGUGCCCACCGCCUACCAGACAGCACCGGUGCGUCUCCAGCUCGGCUUCCCCGCCAGCCCCUCAGGCCUGCUCCCUGCUGCCUCGCCAACAGCCGCACCGUUGUCAGAGCUCUGUCAGCCUGGUGGAUGUAGUUUCAACUUGUAUUUUUGUUGAGAGAACCUGAACAACCUUUCAUUGUUUAAGGGAUAUGGGUAUGCACGCAGGCACUGCCGUAUAUACAUAUAUUGUAGAUACACACGUCCGCACACCUGUACACACACACCCACACACAUACCCCUGUGUAUGUACAUACACACAUUUGUAUGCACACAUAUGUCUACACACGUGUAGACACGUGCACACACAGGCUCACGCACACACAUUUUCUCUGAGCUGUUGGGUUAUGUCUCCUGCACUUUCUCGUGUAUUUUUGACCUUGCUUUUUCCAGACUCUUAGAUCUUCCUACGACUGGCAUAUUCGCUCUUUUGUGGUGGUGCAAACAUUUUCCCUCAGUUUGUUUAUGAUUUUUUUUGCCAAGCUAAAGUUUUUUGUUUUCCAAUAUAUGGAGUUCAGUGUAUCAGUCUUCUCUUUAAUUGUUGCCUGAUGUCCUUUAUUCAUUGGGAAUGCCUUCCCCUCCCACACUGCAAGAAUGCACCCACGGUUUCUUGUUUCUUGUAGGGUUCCUUUUUUUUUCUUUUUUGAGACGGAGUCUUGCUGUGUCGCCCAGGCUGGAGUGCAGUGGCAUGAUCUCGGCUCACUGCAAGCUCCGCCUCCCGGGUUCACGCCAUUCUCCUGCCUCAGCCUCCCGAGUAGCUGGGACCACAGGUGCCCGCCACCAUGCCCGGCUAAUUUUUUGUGUUUUUAGUAGAGACAGGGUUUCACCGUGUUAGCCAGGAUGGUCUCAAUCUCCUGACCUUGUGAUCCACCCGCCUCGACCUCCCAAAGUGCUGGGAUCACAGGCGUGAGCCACCACGCGCGGCCAGGGUUCUUUUUGUAUGCUUUUCUCUCUGCUGCAUUUGGGAUUUUGUGCAUAUGAGUCUAACUUAAUACUUUUCCAGAUGGCUAUCCCUAUCCCUGGGCAGUUGGUUAAAAAGUCGUUUUUCCCCUCACUGAUUUGGGUCGCAGGGACUGGGCCUGUUCCUGUGUCUUCUGGUGCUUAUCCCACCCUGUUUUCAUUACAGUAAGUUUCCCCUGAGCUCAUAAAGCUGGUCCUCUUUCACUUUCUUUUCAUGGUUUUUUUGGCUGUUACUUGCUUGUUAAUUUUUCCAUAUGAGCAUGGUAGUUCCAGAACUGUGGUUUUUACUGGGAUCGUAUUAAAUUUACAAAUUGUAUCGGAAGAACGUGCAUGUUUGCAGCUGUGGCGCCUCUUCGGGGCCCGGGGGUCAGGGUGCCUUUGAUUGAGUUCAGCCUCUGCGGCAGCUUUCCCACGUUUCUGGCUAGGUUUAUGCCGGGAGCAUCUUCUCUCUUGCUGUCCUAGAUGAAACAUCGCCCGCCACUCCGUCUCCUAGCGCACUGUGCUGUGAAUGGGGUGAAUGGGUGUAUGAGAGCCGUGAAUUUUGGACGCUGGCGCGCUGCGCUGUGAAUGGGUGUUUGAGAGCCUUGAGUUCUGGAUGCUAGCGCGCUGCGCUGUCAAUGGAUGAAUGAGAGCCGUGAGUUCUGGAUGCUGGCGCGCUGCGCUGUGAAUGGGUGUUUGAGAGCCUUGAGUUCUGGAUGCUGGCGCGCUGCGCUGUCAGUGGAUGAAUGAGAGACGUGAGUUCUGGAUGCUAGCGCCCUGCGCUGUCAAUGGAUGAAUGAGAGCCGUGAGUUCUGGAUGCUGGCGCGCUGCGCUGUGAAUGGGUGUUUGAGAGCCUUGAGUUCUGGAUGCUGGCGCGCUGCGCUGUCAAUGGAUGAAUGAGAGCCUUGAGUUCUGGAUGCUGGCGCGCUGCGCUGUCAGUGGAUGAAUGAGAGACGUGAGUUCUGGAUGCUGGCGCGCUGCGCUGUGAAUGGGUGUAUGAGAGCCUUGAGUUCUGGAUGCUGGCGCGCUGCGCUGUGAAUGGGUGUUUGAGAGCCUUGAGUUCUGGAUGCUGGCGCGCUGCGCUGACAAUGGAUGAAUGAGAGCCUUGAGUUCUGGAUGCUGGCGCGCCGCGCUGUCAGUGGAUGAAUGAGAGACGUGAGUUCUGGACGCUGGUGCGCAGCGCUGUCAAUGGAUGAAUGAAAGCCUUGAGUUCUGGAUGCUGGCGCGCUGCGCUGUGAAUGGGUGUUUGAGAGCCUUGAGUUCUGGAUGCUGGCGUGCUGCGCUGUCAGUGGAUGAAUGAGAGACGUGAGUUCUGGACGCUGGCGCGCUGCGCUGUCAAUGGAUGAAUGAGAGCCUUGAGUUCUGGAUGCUGGCGCGCUGCGCUGUGAAUGGGUGUUUGAGAGCCUUGAGUUCUGGAUGCUGGCGUGCUGCGCUGUCAGUGGAUGAAUGAGAGACGUGAGUUCUGGACGCUGGCGCGCUGCGCUGUCAAUGGAUGAAUGAAAGCCUUGAGUUCUGGAUGCUGGCGCGCUGCGCUGUGAAUGGGUGUAUGAGAGCCUUGAGUUCUGGAUGCUGGUGCGCUGCGCUGUCAAUGGAUGAAUGAGAGCCGUGAGUUCUGGAUGCUGGCGCGCUGCGCUGUGAAUGGGUGUUUGAGAGCCUUGAGUUCUGGAUGCUGGCGCGCUGCGCUGUCAGUGGAUGAAUGAGAGACGUGAGUUCUGGAUGCUAGCGCGCUGCGCUGUCAAUGGAUGAAUGAGAGCCGUGAGUUCUGGAUGCUGGCGCGCUGCGCUGUGAAUGGGUGUUUGAGAGCCUUGAGUUCUGGAUGCUGGCGCGCUGCGCUGUCAAUGGAUGAAUGAGAGCCUUGAGUUCUGGAUGCUGGCGCGCUGCGCUGUCAGUGGAUGAAUGAGAGACGUGAGUUCUGGAUGCUGGCGCGCUGCGCUGUGAAUGGGUGUAUGAGAGCCUUGAGUUCUGGAUGCUGGCGCGCUGCGCUGUGAAUGGGUGUUUGAGAGCCUUGAGUUCUGGAUGCUGGCGCGCUGCGCUGACAAUGGAUGAAUGAGAGCCUUGAGUUCUGGAUGCUGGCGCGCUGCGCUGUGAAUGGGUGUUUGAGAGCCUUGAGUUCUGGAUGCUGGCGCGCUGCGCUGUGAAUGGGUGUUUGAGAGCCUUGAGUUCUGGAUGCUGGCGCGCUGCGCUGUCAAUGGAUGAAUGAAAGCCUUGAGUUCUGGAUGCUGGCGCGCUGCGCUGUGAAUGGGUGUUUGAGAGCCUUGAGUUCUGGAUGCUGGCGCGCCGCGCUGUCAGUGGAUGAAUGAGAGACGUGAGUUCUGGACGCUGGCGCGCUGCGCUGUCAAUGGAUGAAUGAGAGCCUUGAGUUCUGGAUGCUGGCGCGCUGCGCUGUGAAUGGGUGUUUGAGAGCCUUGAGUUCUGGAUGCUGGCGCGCUGCGCUGUCAGUGGAUGAAUGAGAGACGUGAGUUCUGGAUGCUGGCGCGCUGCGCUGUCAAUGGAU
rnacentral:lncRNA from 1 species